UACAGAGGGUGCGAGCGUUGUUCGGAAUUAUUGGGCGUAAAGCGCUUGUAGGCGGCACGUCAAGUCGCGUGUGAAAUCCCCAGGCUUAACCUGGGAAGUGCGCGCGAAACUGACGAGCUUGAGUGCCGGAGAGGGUCGCGGAAUUCCCGGUGUAGAGGUGAAAUUCGUAGAUAUUGGGAAGAACACCGGUGGCGAAGGCGGCGACCUGGUCCGUGACUGACGCUGAGGCGCGAAAGCGUGGGGAGCAAACAGG
rnacentral:rRNA from 1 species